UACGGAGGAUGCAAGCGUUAUCCGGAAUCAUUGGGCGUAAAGCGUCCGCAGGUGGCUGUGUAAGUCUGCUGUCAAAGAGCGAAGCUCAACUUCGUAAAGGCAGUGGAAACUACACGGCUAGAGUGCGUUCGGGGCAGAGGGAAUUCCUGGUGUAGCGGUGAAAUGCGUAGAGAUCAGGAAGAACACCGGUGGCGAAGGCGCUCUGCUAGGCCGCAACUGACACUGAGGGACGAAAGCUAGGGGAGCAAACAGG
rnacentral:rRNA from 1 species